rnacentral:rRNA from 1 species
ACGAACGCUGGCGGCGUGCUUAACCCAUGCGAGUCGAACGGUGAAGCCCCAGCUUGCUGGAGUGGAUCAGUGGCGAACGGGGGAGUAACACGUGAGCAACCUGCCCCUGACUCUGGAAUAAGCGCUGGAAACGGCGUCUAAUACUGGAUACGAGAAGGGUCCGCAUGGGCACUUUCUGGAAAGCUUUUCGGUUGGGGACUGGCUCGCGGCCUAUCAGCUUGUUGGUGAGGUAAUGGCUCACCAAGGCGACGACGGGUAGCCGGCCUGAGAGGGCGACCGGCCACACUGUGACUGAGACACGGCCCAGACUCCUACGGGAGGCAGCAGUGGGGAAUAUUGCACAAUGGGCGAAAGCCUGAUGCAGCGACGCCGCGUGAGGGAUGACGGCCUUCGGGUUGUAAACCUCUUUCAGCAGGGAAGAAGCGAAAGUGACGGUACCUGCAGAAGAAGCACCGGCUAACUACGUG